rnacentral:lncRNA from 7 species
GAUUGACUUCAGCAGGGCUGCAGUUAACAGCCUGAAACAUUUCUUUCCCAGUGCUGCUGGGUUGGGCUCUUCUCUUGGACUUACAAGCACCAGCAUUUCAGUAAAGCUAUGAGUGGCAGCUCUUACUGCCUGGGAACAAACUCAUGUGGUCCAGUCAGGAGGAUGACAGCUCUGCACCACCGGCCUGUGUAUCCUUUUCUUUGCUUCCCACGUCACUCAGCUGGGACAGAAUCUGUUCAGCCUUGUAUUGGGCUCUUGUGGAGCCCAGUGCUCCUGGAGGUGGUGGGAAUCCCUCCUGUAGCUGUGAAGCAAACUCUAGGAAGCUGGAAUUUCAGAGCGUGAAUUCCAAGACACAUCAGCUUACACUGAUGUAUAACGAAGCCUCGGAGAAAUAUUACUUUGUGCUUCUAAAGAUAAUUUUUAAAUCAAAUGCUACUCAGGAUGGGACAUUUAAUGGAGUUCCUCUGGGGCCCAGUCCGAAGCACCGGUCUGGCAGCUACGACGUACCAAUGCUUCCUGCUCCCUACUUAUGGGAAGCUGAAUUCUGGCUGAGAGGAGCAGUCUGCGUGUGAGGUUUGGGGAGCUGAUACAGACCUUCCCCAACGUCUGGAUUGAUUUGGCUCCAGGUUUUGGUCUGAGAUCCCCUCUAAUGCCUUCGCCAGGAGCGGAGUAAUGCCUGAAGUUCUGUCUCAGAAUCAGAAGUUCUGUUUCUUUCAGUCCUUUCCUUCCUCCCUUCCUUCCUUGGGCCAAAGUUGCUCCAAAGAUCUCUGUGUGGUCACUCCACUUCCUACGUAUUCUGUGUCUGUGCUCCUGUGCAUGGAAAAUGGCACCAAAGAUAUUGAUGCAACUUCAUGGGAGACUGGGAAUUUCUUCUUUUGUGAUUUGGUUUGGAAAAGGCUGCAAAGUGUGAUUCCUGGGCAGGACUGGGGGCUGUUUGUCCAUUACAUCCUUCUGUAGAUAGUUUCACAAAGUGUGCGCUGGGUGUUAAAGAGGCAAUGAGAAGCUUAAAUAUUGCAGAAAUAAUAAAUCAUCAUGUGAAAC